rnacentral:lncRNA from 1 species
UUUUCCACACUCAAAUCCAUGGAGGAAAUGGUCUUAGCUUGACGGAUGUUGGGGUCCCCAACAGCUUCUUCCAUUUCCUCCAUGUAUUUGAAAUUAUGUGCUCCCUCUCCACUCUUUCUGUUCUUAUCUUCAACCUGCUUGAACUUUGUUUCAGGCUUCUGUCACUUGGAUUUUAAUUGCAUCCAAGUGACAGUUUCAGCUUCUUUAUCACUUGUGGC